UCCUGCUUAUCACAGGCAGUCUGCCUAGAGUGCCCGGCCGAACCGAUGGUAACUAGACACGGGGGUUGCGCUCGUUGCGGGACUUAACCCAACAUCUCACGACACGAGCUGACGACAGCCAUGCAACACCUGUGUGCGGGUUCCCCGAAGGGCACCAACUGGUUUCCCAGAAGUUCCCGCCAUGUCAAGCCUGGGUAAGGUUCUUCGCGUUGCAUCGAAUUAAACCACAUGCUCCACCGCUUGUGCGGGCCCCCGUCAAUUCCUUUGAGUUUCACCCUUGCGAGCGUACUCCCCAGGCGGUGCACUUAAUGCGUUAGCUGCGGCACGGAAGGGGUCGAUAUCCUCCCACACCUAGUGCACAACGUUUACGGCGUGGACUAC
rnacentral:misc_RNA from 1 species